GACGAACGCUGGCGGCGUGCUUAACACAUGCAAGUCGAGCGGUAAGGCCCUUUCGGGGUACACGAGCGGCGAACGGGUGAGUAACACGUGGGUGACCUGCCCUCAGCUCUGGGAUAAGCCUGGGAAACCGGGUCUAAUACCGGAUAUGACUCCAUGACGCAUGUUGUGGGUGGAAAGCCUUGUGCGGCUGAGGAUGGGCCCGCGGCCUAUCAGCUUGUUGGUGGGGUGAGGCCUACCAAGGCGACGACGGGUAGCCGGCCUGAGAGGGCGACCGGCCACACUGGGACUGAGACACGGCCCAGACUCCUACGGGAGGCAGCAGGUGGGGAAUCUUGCGCAAUGGGCGAAAGCCUGACGCAGCGACGCCGCGUGAGGGAUGACGGCC
rnacentral:rRNA from 1 species